rnacentral:rRNA from 1 species
GACGAACGCUGGCGGCGUGCUUAACACAUGCAAGUCGAACGAAGAGCGAUGGAAGCUUGCUUCUAUCAAUCUUAGUGGCGAACGGGUGAGUAACGCGUAAUCAACCUGCCCUUCAGAGGGGGACAACAGUUGGAAACGACUGCUAAUACCGCAUACGAUCUAAUCUCGGCAUCGAGGAUAGAUGAAAGGUGGCCUCUACAUGUAAGCUAUCACUGAAGGAGGGGAUUGCGUCUGAUUAGCUAGUUGGAGGGGUAACGGCCCACCAAGGCGAUGAUCAGUAGCCGGUCUGAGAGGAUGAACGGCCACAUUGGGACUGAGACACGGCCCAGACUCCUACGGGAGGCAGCAGUGGGGAACCUUCCGCAAUGGACGAAAGUCUGACGGAGCAACGCCGCGUGAGUGAUGACGGCCUUCGGGUUGUAAAGCUCUGUUAAUCGGGACGAAAGGCCUUCUUGCGAAUAGUGAGAAGGAUUGACGGUACCG